rnacentral:rRNA from 1 species
AAAUCUGGUUGAUCCUGCCAGAGGCGACCGCUUUUGGAGUUCGAUUAAGCCAUGCGAGUCGAGAGCUUUCGGAGCUCGGCAUACUGCUCAGUAACACGUGGAUAACCUGCCCUAUUGUCUGGAAUAACCUCGGGAAACUGAGAACAAUGCCGGAUAGCCCACAAUGCCUGGAACGGUUUGUGGGUGAACUGAUAGGAUGGGUCUGCGGCGUAUCAGGUCGUAGGGGGUGUAAUGGACCUCCUAGCCAUCGACGCGUACGGGUGUUGGGAGACAUAGCCCGGAGAUGGAUUCUGAGACACG